rnacentral:rRNA from 1 species
AUUGAACGCUGGCGGCAUGCUUUACACAUGCAAGUCGAACGGUAACAGGCCGCAAGGUGCUGACGAGUGGCGAACGGGUGAGUAAUGCAUCGGAACGUGCCCAGUCGUGGGGGAUAACUGCUCGAAAGAGCAGCUAAUACCGCAUACGAUCUAUGGAUGAAAGCGGGGGACCGUAAGGCCUCGCGCGAUUGGAGCGGCCGAUGUCAGAUUAGGUAGUUGGUGGGGUAAAGGCUCACCAAGCCAACGAUCUGUAGCUGGUCUGAGAGGACGACCAGCCACACUGGGACUGAGACACGGCCCAGACCCCUACGGGAGGCAGCAGUGGGGAAUUUUGGACAAUGGGGGCAACCCUGAUCCAGCAAUGCCGCGUGCAGGAAGAAGGCCUUCGGGUUGUAAACUGCUUUUGUACGGAACGAAACGGUCUGGGUUAAUACCCUGGGCUAAUGACGGUACCGUAAGAAUAAGCACCGGCUAACUACGUGCCAGCCGCCGCGGUAAGAC